rnacentral:lncRNA from 1 species
UUACUUGUAGCUGAAAGCACCACAUUUGUCUCCAACUCUUACUGUUAGGGUUCAAUGCACUUUGAUGGAUUUCAUAUUAAUUCGAGUACAUAUAUAACGUCAAGUCUAAUCUGACUUUCACGUAAAGGUUUUUCUGGGAUCACUGGUCAUCCAAUCGAGAUCAGUUUGCUUCCACCAAAUGCACUAAAUUAGGCAAUUGAUC